rnacentral:rRNA from 1 species
AUAUCAAUAAGCGGAGGAAAAGAAACCAACAGGGAUUGCCUCAGUAACGGCGAGUGAAGCGGCAAUAGCUCAAAUUUGAAAGCUGCCAACAGGCCGCAUUGUAAUUUGUAGAAGAUGCUUUGGGGGUUGGCCUAGUCUAAGUUCCUUGGAACAGGACGUCAUAGAGGGUGAGAAUCCCGUUUGUGACUGAUAGUUUUUGGCCAUGUGAAGCUCCUUCGACGAGUCGAGUUGUUUGGGAAUGCAGCUCUAAAUGGGUGGUAAAUUUCAUCUAAAGCUAAAUACCGGCCAGAGACCGAUAGCGCACAAGUA